UACAGUUUGAUCAUGGCUCAGAAUCAACGCUGGCGGCGCGCUUAACACAUGCAAGUCGAACGAGAAAGCCGGGGCAACNNNNUGAGUAAAGUGGCGUACGGGUGAGUAACACGUGGGUAAUCUACCUUCUGGUGGGGAAUAACCCUGGGAAACCGGGGCUAAUACCGCAUAACCCCGCAAGGGAAAAGUAGCAAUACGCCGGAAGAGGAGCCCGCGGCCGAUUAGCUAGUUGGUAGGGUAACGGCCUACCAAGGCUGCGAUCGGUAGCCGGCCUGAGAGGGCACACGGCCACACUGGCACUGAAACACGGGCCAGACUCCUACGGGAGGCAGCAGUGGGGAAUCUUGCACAAUGGGGGAAACCCUGAUGCAGCGACGCCGCGUGAGCGAUGAAGCCCUUCGGGGUGUAAAGCUCUUUCGGCAGGAACGAUAAUGACGGUACCUGCAGAAGAAGCUGCGGCUAACUACGUGCCAGCAGCCGCGGUAAUACGUAGGCAGCAAGCGUUGUUCGGAGUUACUGGGCGUAAAGAGUGCGUAGGUGGUUCUCUAAGUUCGGUGUGAAAUCUCCCGGCUCAACUGGGAGGGUGCGCCGAAAACUGGAGGGCUUGAGUAUGGGAGAGGAGAGCGGAAUUCCUGGUGUAGCGGUGAAAUGCGUAGAUAUCAGGAGGAACACCUGUGGUGCAGACGGCUCUCUGGACCAUUACUGACACUGAGGCACGAAAGCGUGGGGAGCAAACAGGNNUAGAUACCCUGGUAG
rnacentral:rRNA from 1 species